GUGGGCGUGGCCAAGUGGACCAAGGCAGUGGAUUGUGAAUCCAUAAAGAGGACCAAGGCAGUGGAUUGUGAAUCCAUAAAGGGUGGGUUCAAUCCUCGUCGUUUUCC
rnacentral:tRNA from 1 species